AUUUUUAUUUGAGGACCAGGUUUUGGUUUGGGUAGUGGUCCUACGAUGACUGUGAACUGUCAUGUCUUCGGAUGUGCGACUAUCGGUCUAGGAUCGCAUCUCAGCCCCUGGGACUCUUUUGAACGCAACGGACGUGAUUGCAACCCCUUGUUGAGAUUAGAGGAGUCUCGAUAUUCAUUGGCCAAACUUACCGCUUCGAGCUUGCUCGUGCAGUUUUGUUAGCCGGUGGAUAAACUCGGGGGACUGCUGACUAUAACCAUUUCUCAAAACAGAGGAAGGUUGCGGCAAUAACAGGUCUGUGAUGCCCUCAGAUGU
rnacentral:rRNA from 1 species